UACGUAGGCAGCGAGCGUUGUUCGGAAUUACUGGGCGUAAAGAGUGUGUAGGCGGUGUUCCCAGUCUGUUGUGAAAUCUCCCGGCUUAACUGGGAGGGUGCAGCGGAAACUAGAAUGCUAGAGGGUGGGAGAGGUAAGCGGAAUUCCUGGUGUAGCGGUGAAAUGCGUAGAUAUUGGGAAGAACACCGGUGGCGAAGGCGGCCAUCUGGACCGCAACUGACGCUGAGGCGCGAAAGCGUGGGGAGCAAACAGG
rnacentral:rRNA from 1 species